rnacentral:rRNA from 1 species
UGGAAUCGCUAGUAAUCGCGGAUCAGAAUGCCGCGGUGAAUACGUUCCCGGGUCUUGUACACACCGCCCGUCACACCAUGGAGUCGGAAAUGCCCGAAGUCUGUGACCCAACCAUUAAGGAGGGAGCAGCCGAAGGCAGGUCGGAUGACUGGGGUGAAGUCGUAACAAGGUACC